rnacentral:tRNA from 1 species
GGCUCGAUGGUGAAGUGGAAACACGGAAGUCUGCAAAACUUUUAUGCAGGGGUUCGAUUCCCCUUCGAGCCU